UUGGAGGGCAAGUCUGGUGCCAGCAGCCGCGGUAAUUCCAGCUCCAAUAGCGUAUAUUAAAGUUGUUGCAGUUAAAAAGCUCGUAGUUGAAUUUCGGGAUCAAUAUACCGGUCGUGCCUCAGGUAUGAACUGGUCUUAUUGGUUUCUCCCUUCUGACGAACCAUGAUGUCAUUAAUUUGAUGUCGUGGAGAAUCAGGACUGUUACUUUGAAAAAAUUAGAGUGUUUAAAGCAGGC
rnacentral:rRNA from 1 species